GUGCCAGCAGCCGCGGUAAUACGUAGGGGGCAAGCGUUGUCCGGAUUUACUGGGCGUAAAGCGCGCGUAGGCGGAAGUGUAAGUCUGGCCUGAAAGCCCCCGGCUCAACCGGGGAGGGCGGCUGGAAACUGUGCUUCUUGAGGGCGAUAGAGGAGAGUGGAAUUCCACGUGUAGCGGUGAAAUGCGUAGAUAUGUGGAGGAACACCAGUGGCGAAGGCGACUCUCUGGGCAGUAACUGACGCUGAGGCGCGAAAGCGUGGGGAGCAAACAGGAUUAGAUACCCUGGUAGUCC
rnacentral:rRNA from 1 species